AUUGAACGCUGGCGGCAUGCCUUACACAUGCAAGUCGAACGGUGACGGGCCUUCGGGUGCCGACGAGUGGCGAACGGGUGCGUAAUACAUCGGAACGUGCCCGAUCGUGGGGGAUAACGAGGCGAAAGCUUUGCUAAUACCGCAUACGAUCUACGGAUGAAAGCAGGGGACCGCAAGGCCUUGCGCGGACGGAGCGGCCGAUGGCAGAUUAGGUAGUUGGUGGGAUAAAAGCUUACCAAGCCGACGAUCUGUAGCUGGUCUGAGAGGAUGAUCAGCCACACUGGGACUGAGACACGGCCCAGACUCCUACGGGAGGCAGCAGUGGGGAAUUUUGGACAAUGGGCGCAAGCCUGAUCCAGCCAUGCCGCGUGCAGGAUGAAGGCCUUCGGGUUGUAAACUGCUUUUGUACGGAACGAAAAGCCUUCUUUUAAUACAGGAGGGUCAUGACGGUACCGUAAGAAUAAGCACCGGCUAACUACGUG
rnacentral:rRNA from 1 species